CGUGAGUAACCUGCCUUGGAGUGGGGAAUAACACAUCGAAAGAUGUGCUAAUACCGCAUAAUGCAGUUGGGCCGCAUGGCUCUGACUGCCAAAGAUUUAUCGCUCUGAGAUGGACUCGCGUCUGAUUAGCUGGUUGGCGGGGUAACGGCCCACCAAGGCGACGAUCGGUAGCCGGACUGAGAGGUUGACCGGCCACAUUGGGACUGAGACACGGCCCAGACUCCUACGGGAGGCAGCAG
rnacentral:rRNA from 1 species